AGUUUUAUAGUUUAAUUAAAAAUAUUAAAUUGCAAAUUUAAAGAUGGUUAUUUUAUAUCUUAAGGCUU
rnacentral:tRNA from 1 species